CCUACGGGAGGCAGCAGUGAGGAAUAUUGGUCAAUGGGCGCGAGCCUGAACCAGCCAAGUAGCGUGAAGGAUGACUGCCCUACGGGUUGUAAACUUCUUUUAUAAAGGAAUAAAGUGAGGCACGUGUGCCUUUUUGUAUGUACUUUAUGAAUAAGGAUCGGCUAACUCCGUGCCAGCAGCCGCGGUAAUACGGAGGAUCCGAGCGUUAUCCGGAUUUAUUGGGUUUAAAGGGAGCGUAGAUGGGUUGUUAAGUCAGUUGUGAAAGUUUGCGGCUCAACCGUAAAAUUGCAAUUGAUACUGGCAGUCUUGAGUGGGCGAGAGGUAUGCGGAAUGCGUGGUGUAGCGGUGAAAUGCAUAGAUAUCACGCAGAACUCCGAUUGCGAAGGCAGCAUACCGGCGCCCAACUGACGCUGAAGCACGAAAGCGUGGGUAUCGAACAGGAUUAGAUACCCUUGUAGUC
rnacentral:rRNA from 1 species